rnacentral:rRNA from 1 species
AUAGUGGCGCACGGGUGCGUAACGCGUAACCAACCUACCCGAAUCUGGGGGAUAGCCCGCCGAAAGGCGGAUUAAUACCGCAUAAAACCACAGCCUGGCAUCAGGUAAUGGUUAAAGAUUUAUUGGAUUCGGAUGGGGUUGCGUGCCAUUAGCUAGUUGGAGAGGUAACGGCUCACCAAGGCGACGAUGGCUAGGGGAGCUGAGAGGCUGGUCCCCCACACGGGCACUGAGAUACGGGCCCGACUCCUACGGGAGGCAGCAGUAGGGAAUAUUGGGCAAUGGACGAGAGUCUGACCCAGCCAUGCCGCGUGCAGGAUGAAGGCUUUCUGAGUCGUAAACUGCUUUUAUCAGGGAAGAAAAAAGGGGAUGCGUCCUCUACUGACGGUAC